AUGUUGUCCUAACCUCAUUUUUUUUUAAAAUCUCUCAAAUUUAAUUUAAAUAAAAACUAAUCAUUAUUGAUGAUUGAAAGGCUUUAAACAAAGAAAAUCAUUAUUAAUAAUAUAAAAGUGGUUACAUUCAGUCAAUUUGGGGACUCUAUCGCACAUCUUACGUCUUAAGAACGGGGAAACUUCAUCGGAGAUUGCCAGUGGUUCCGAGGAUUACAUUCGCUUCUACAACUUGAGAUUGGCCGCUCGAGCAUGAAGAUAACACUAGAAAGAUGCUCGCUUUGACGGCCAGAGUUUCGCAACAGCUUCUUCAAACAUAAAAUCGACAGCGGGAUGGUUGGAAGGUGGCCUAAAGAAGUCUAAUUGGAGCGUAGCCGAGAUCGCAAUAAUUCAACGUUUUAUAAACUAUUAUAAUCUUAGUGUCGACACUCACGUUCAGUUCGCCGGACGAUUUCGGUCGAAAAGACAACGACUGGACGGUCAGUUUUCUCUGUACACGUACAGGCGGCCGAUGAGAGUUGUGAAAAUCGCUUGGCCGGCCGGGGUGACUGAGCGUAAGUGUCAAGCUUAAGAACUCGCAACGUUUUCGUAGAGCAUGGCUAAUUUGUUUAAAUAUUCGGACUGUCGGCCCGGGUUGAAAGUUGCUAGUUCUUAGAGUAGUUGGAUAAACUUCUUCUUUUAUUACCUAAGUAGUUAUGUGGUAGUUUUGAAAGCGACCUCAUAUGUAAUUAGAGAAAAUGAGACGUAUAGCCUGUUGUAAUAUACUAGAGACAUCGCGCAUGCUAGCAGAACAAUUGUUUAGAAACAAAUUGUGCUACUAAUUAAGUGCUUAGUAUUACUCCUUCAAUUCUGAAUGUUCACCAUAUAAAGUCAUCUGCGAAAUGCUGUAUUUUUGAGACAGUAGACGAGGAAGAGAUACCAAAGCAUUAAAUUAGCACUUACUGUUGUA